rnacentral:tRNA from 1 species
AGAAACUUAGGAUAACUUAAACCAUGAGCCUUCAAAGCUCAAAACAUGGGUCACCCCCAUAAUUUCU